rnacentral:lncRNA from 1 species
UUUUUAAGCUCUUAAACUGGGCCUAAUGCUUAGCCAGGAUUAAGAAUAACUGUUCUGGAGGGUAAGUAGAAGCAUUUUCAGUAAACAUGGGUCUUCGUUGUAAUAAAACCUAAGACAAAAGAGGGUUUGCUAUGCCUUUAACAUAAUAAGGCCAGGUUUGUUACUUCUCAUGGGAUAAGGUCAAGGUCAAUUCUUAAGAGACAAGUACAUUUCUCAGGUAGCCUAAAUGGGAGUGGUUUACAAAAGAGAAAUUAACCUCACAUCUGAUUUCAAUAACCUUAGGAGAUAAUAAGUCAUUGCCUGAGGUGGAGAUACCCACAAGCCUCCUUUACCUGCACCUCUCAUCCGUGGACCAGGACUCUUCCUUCUUACCACUUGGAAAACUAGAAGAAAGUAUCAAAGCUUACCUUCUCCACCAGCAGAAAGUGCCAAGGAGACAUCUCUUCAUAUUCAGGAGGCGUUUGAGAUGGCUUAUUUUGUAACAUGUGAGACCAGCCUGGAUCUCAUGGGGCUUUAUUAUUAUGAGGGGCUGGGAGAUGGGUAGCUUGGCUUGAGGAAGGGGCAUGUGAAAAAUACUAUAUAAUGUUAUAGUUAAAACCUAAUGUAAUUGUAACUAAUAUAAUUAAUGUAUAAUGAUUGUUAUU